rnacentral:rRNA from 1 species
CCUACGGGAGGCAGCAGUAAGGAAUAUUGGACAAUGGGGGCAACCCUGAUCCAGCCAUACCGCGUGUGUGAAGAAGGCCUUCGGGUUGUAAAGCACUUUAAGCAGGGAGAAAAAGUUAUAAGUUAAUACCUUAUAACCGUGAUGUUACCUGCAGAAUAAGCACCGGCUAAUUCCGUGCCAGCAGCCGCGGUAAU